GAGCAAGGGUAAGAUUUAAAGAAUAUGCUUUCAUUCUGCUGUAUAAGGAAAUAGAUACGUUAAUAGAUCUAUACCGAUCUUAACCGUACAUUUUGUUCACACAGACUAAUCUCGCCUCAUAACGAGGCCGUGACCUCCUAUUUGCUCGGAGCAAGUCCAGAUUUACAUGAUUCUGACAAUGACGCCAUUGUGUCUGCCUGUAAGACGAGGCAGUACGUAAGCUGUGAAGAGUUCAGCUCGGAGUCGAGCGAGAAGAAAGAGGCUGCUGGAAGCAAGACAGAAUGUGCUGGAUGGAUUGUGCGACCUCCGUCCUUUCUUUCCUUUCACCGAGCUCUGUGCCACACUGCAGUCGAGAUUAGAGCCAAUUCAAAAGUACAGGACAACGCACCACAGACGUCUGCAAAAUGGACCGAAUUAAGACAGAAUGCCAGCAGUUACCUACAGCUCCGAGGCAGCAAACAGACACUUCACGGUGCUGUAGGAUUUUGGGGUUCUCCGU